rnacentral:rRNA from 1 species
UACGUAGGGUGCAAGCGUUGUCCGGAAUUAUUGGGCGUAAAGGGCUCGUAGGCGGUCCAUCGCGUCGGGGAGUGAAAAGCUGGGGCUUAACCCCAGUCCUGCUUCCGAUACGGGUGGACUAGAGGUAGGUAGGGGAGAACGGAAUUCCUGGUGUAGCGGUGAAAUGCGCAGAGUAUCAGGAGGAACACCGGUGGCGAAGGCGGUCUCUGGCCUUGACCUGAACGCUGAGGGAGCGAAAAGCUAGGGGAGCAAACGGG